rnacentral:rRNA from 1 species
CCUACGGGUGGCAGCAGUGAGGAAUAUUGGUCAAUGGACGCAAGUCUGAACCAGCCAAGCCGCGUGCAGGAAGAAGGCUCUAUGAGUUGUAAACUUCUUUUAUACGAGGGUAAAAGUAUAUACGUGUAUCUGUCUGAAAGUAUCGUACGAAUAAGGAUAGGCUAACUCCGUGCCAGCAGCCGCGGUAAUACGGAGGAUUCAAGCGUUAUCCGGAUUUAUUGGGUUUAAAGGGUGCGUAGGCGGUCGGAUAAGUUAGAGGUGAAAUCCAGAGGCUCAACUUCGGAAUUGCCUCGGAUACUGUUUGGCUAGAGAGUAGUUGAGGUAGGCGGAAUGUAUGGUGUAGCGGUGAAAUGCUUAGAGAUCAGACAGAACACCGAUUGCGAAGGCAGCUUACCAAGCUACUUCUGACGUUGAGGCUCGAAAGCGUGGGGAGCAAACAGGAUUAGAUACCCCUGUAGUC